UACGUAGGGGGCGGGCGUUAUCCGGAUUUACUGGGUGUAAAGGGAGCGUAGACGGCCAUGCAAGCUCGGUGUGAAAGGUGCGGGCACAACCCGCAGACUGCACUGAGAACUGUAUGGCUGGAGUGCCGGAGGGGCAGGCGGAAUUCCUGGUGUAGCGGUGAAAUGCGUAGAUAUCAGGAGGAACACCGGUGGCGAAGGCGGCCUGCUGGACGGCGACUGACGUUGAGGCUCGAAAGCGUGGGGAGCGAACAGG
rnacentral:rRNA from 1 species